rnacentral:misc_RNA from 1 species
AAUUGGGGAAGAAGAAGAAGAAAGCUAAGAAGAGAAAAUUUCAGUUGAAGGUAGCCAUGAAAGGAGGAGGAAGGAAGAAUUUGAAAAGGGCUAUUGAGGAAGACAAUUUUACCCUUGAACAAGGUCAAAGCAUUAUGCAAGUUGUCGACCUUCGAGGUUCCAAUCUUAUUCAAGUAAUGGAUGCAAAAGGUGAAAAUUCAUUAGCAAUAUUUCCAGCUAAAUUCCAGAAGAGCAUGUGGAU